GGGGUUGUACUGGUUUCGACGGGGAUUUUGAAAUUGAAGAAGCUAUCCGCGGGCCGGGACCGCGCAGUAAUCCGGAACUUAAAUAUAAACGCAAACGAUAAUUUAGCGUACGCUGCCUAAUUUGGCGGCUGUCGGCCUUAAACCGCUCACUGUUUAAGAAUCCGGCAUCAACUUUGUGAGGCACUUCGUUCCCAAAGCUUUGAGGGUUCGGAAGAUUUUAUGAAGCUACUGAAGCAGAAAGCCUGUCAUUAGGCGUUCUAUGGAGGGAAUGGCGCAAGCAUAAAAUAAUGACUGUGAUAGGAGAUGCUUCAAUGGAUGGGUUUUCGGACAGGGGUUCGAUUCCCCUCAGCUCCAUAU
rnacentral:tmRNA from 1 species